AUUGAACGCUGGCGGCGUGCCUAACACAUGCAAGUCGAGCGAGAAAGGGGCUUCGGCCCUGAGUAAAGCGGCGCACGGGUGAGUAACACGUGGGUAAUCCGCCCUCGAGUGGGGAAUAACACCGGGAAACCGGUGCUAAUACCGCAUACGAUCACGAUGUUUUCGGAUGUUGUGAUGAAAGGAGCAAUUCGCUCUUGGAGGAGCCCGCGGCUGAUUAGCUAGUUGGUGAGGUAAAGGCUCACCAAGGCAACGAUCAGUAGCCGGUCUGAGAGGACGGUCGGCCACACUGGAACUGAGACACGGUCCAGACUCCUACGGGAGGCAGCAGUGGGGAAUUUUUCGCAAUGGGGGCAACCCUGACGAAGCAACGCCGCGUGGAUGAUGAAGUCUCUUGGGACGUAAAAUCCUUUCGACAGGGAAGAAACCGCAAGGUUGACGGUACCUGUAGAAGAAGCCCCAGCUAACUCCGUGCCAGCAGCCGCGGUAA
rnacentral:rRNA from 1 species